rnacentral:sRNA from 1 species
UUAGUUUUUCCAGCAGGAGAGAAUGGUUGCCCUUAACCUGUAUGUGGCUGUGAGUCUCAACCAUAUCGGGAUUCCAUGGAGCGGUUCACGUCUUUGAUCUAUAGGCUCUCUCCCUCUUGUUGCUUUGGACGUUCAUCUCUAGAUCAUGUUACCUUCUAACCGGGGAAAAAUAUCUUGCACAAUGACAAAGUGAAAAAAUACGCGCUAAACCGAUCCGUUCGAUUAGCCCAGCUGAUAUCAUUCUGUCAAAAUACAUUUGUUUACAUUUGGACGUCGCCGUAAAAUACUGGUUACUGGUUACUUUUUCUGCUGGAAUUGUUCAUAAUAUAUUUUAGAUCAACUCUUAGUGAAGCAGUGGGUAAAACGAUGAGAACCGCUUUUCAAGGCCAAAUCAAACCUACUUGUCAAAUGAAUUCAUGAAGAAAUACCUAUAGCGACAAUUCCGAAAAGCAUAAUACACACCUUCUUAAUUUUUAUAUUUUCAACCCGUGCAUUUGGUGACAUUUGGCCAUUCGAGUCUUCAUUUUUAUCAAAGUGACGAAGAAACGGAGGCGGGAAGAAUGUAAAUGCAAGGCUAAGAACGAGGAAGCGAAUAGCAGAGAAGAACAAAAAGAAACGGUGGAACAGAAAUUCUACGACGGGAAACGAAAAGAUGACGAAGAAAUCGUCCAAAAAUAAAAAUAAUAAAAUUAAAAAUUGAGUAACAUUGAAGAUGACUGACUCCCUGAGAAAAAGAAAUGAGAGCAGACGGCUGAGCGGCCUAGAAAAGGUGUUUAAUAUAAAUCUAGCAACAUUAAAUGAAAUGAUGGUACGAAGAAGAGUGCUCAAAAGAUGAGCUCUUGUUGAGGAGAAGAAUCGAACGAAACGAAAUGGAGAGAAGAAUGCCAAUGCAUUAAGACGGCUAAGAACGAGGAUGCGAAUAGAAGAUGAGAA